rnacentral:rRNA from 1 species
GACGAACGCUGGCGGCGUGCUUAACACAUGCAAGUCGAACGGAAAGGCCCUGCUUUUGUGGGGUGCUCGAGUGGCGAACGGGUGAGUAACACGUGAGUAACCUGCCCUUGACUUUGGGAUAACUUCAGGAAACUGGGGCUAAUACCGGAUAGGAGCUCCUGCUGCAUGGUGGGGGUUGGAAAGUUUCGGCGGUUGGGGAUGGACUCGCGGCGUAUCAGCUUGUUGGUGGGGUAGUGGCUUACCAAGGCUUUGACGGGUAGCCGGCCUGAGAGGGUGACCGGCCACAUUGGGACUGAGAUGCGGCCCAGACUCCUACGGGAGGCAGGAGUGGGGAAGAUUGCACAAUGGGCGGAAGCCUGAUGCAGCAACGCCGCGUGCGGGAUGACGGCCUUCGGGUUGUAAACCGCUUUCGCCUGUGACGAAGCGUGAGUGACGGUAAUGGGUAAAGAAGCACCGGCUAACUACGUG